rnacentral:tRNA from 2 species
GCCGGAAUGGUGGAAUGGUAGACACGACAGACUCAAAAUCUGUUGCGAGCAAUCGUGUAAGAGUUCAAGUCUCUUUUCCGGUA